GCGGUCGAAGCCUAGUGGCGAGGCGUCCGGCAUCCAACCGGAAGAGGGCGGUUCAACUCCGACCCGACCGCUCCA
rnacentral:tRNA from 1 species